GGAGGGGUGGCUGAGUGGUCGAAAGCAGCCGCCUGCUAAGCGGCUGAUUGGGUAACACCGAUCCCAGGGUUCGAAUCCCUGCCCCUCCG
rnacentral:tRNA from 1 species